UGGGAUAUUCUGAUCUAAGUUUUACAUUCUAGGAUGAAGAUGAACCGCAUGUACAGUAGUUAUGUUAUCCCUUUCUUUUGUAAAGGAUUUUAUGUCUUCUUCUUGACGAAAUAAUUAGAUUGCGGUCUGAUGGAUUCCUUAUUUCACUAAGUUCCUAAAAUUUUCGUACUUUCUAAUACUAAAUUCUGAAAACCAGAACCUGAAUAUUGAGUAAAUAACUAAAAGCUUUCCUCCUUUGUUUCUGUCAUGUCUUUUGCCCAUUGAUGUGACCAUGGUAUGCAUGUUUCUGUUAAAUAACCUUAACUUUGUUAGUAUCUACAUUUAAGAACUCUCUGUUGGAGUAAUACAGGCACGUUUAAGUUGACCCUUCAGUUUACAGAGGAUUACCCAAACAAACCACCGACAGUCCGAUUUGUUUCUCGAAUGUUUCAUCCAAAUAGUAAGUUGGAUUAUACAUGUCUUGACAUCACAAUUUUCUGCAUGUUAAGCAUUUCUCCUCUGGUUUCUGAAUUCAAUUUUUCUUUCAAAUUUGGUCAGUUUAUGCAGAUGGAAGUAUUUGUUUGGAUAUUUUACAGAAUCAGUGGAGUCCUAUAUAUGAUGUGGCAGCUAUACUCACAUCUAUUCAGGUAGGAUUGAAUUGUGUGGAUAGGAUUUUUGUUCCUUGCUUAUAUUUAUGAAUUUUCAUAGCAUGUAGCAAAGGUGUGUCGCCUAUAGCAUACAUUUGACUUAGAACUUAAAGAAACAUCGUAUUGGGGAGGUUAAAGUUUUGCUUCUACACCUUAGGGUCUUAAGGAAGGCUAGUACGUUUAUCUUUAUUCCAGUACAGUGUGGAGUUUUAUAUAUCUAUACGACAAAUGUAGCUGCACAUGCCAAUGAAGGCAUGUAGGUAUUUCGAUGUAGACCAACUAUGAAUGGAAAUAGUGAUGUAUGUGUUGAGAAACUUUUAGUGUGCUAAACACCAACAAUCUGAGAAGACCCUAACAUCUACCAUUUUCUUAUUGCAGUCACUACUAUGUGAUCCCAACCCAAACUCUCCUGCUAAUUCAGAAGCUGCUCGCAUGUUUAGCGAGAACAAGCGUGAGUACAACCGAAGAGUGAGAGAAAUCGUGGAACAGAGUUGGACAGCAGACUAACUCCUUCACAUGGGAGCUUGUAGGACAGUCGGAAUUUGUUCAAAGGCAUUUUAUAAGUAGCAUUUCUAGCUACUGCGAGAAUCGUUAUGCCAACUUAUCAACAUUUAUCCUGUAUUUCAAUGUUUUAUUCCCAAAUUAUGACGCUUAGGAUUUGUUCUUCGAAGUAUACAGUUGUGAUGGUAUAUGUUGUAAAUUGUAAUUUCCAUCAAGGACGUUGAUGUAUGUGGAAAGGAUUGACCAUGGAUUAGCUGACAUAAGCUUUGAUGUUUAAGUAUGCUUUAACUCUUAAUCACUUUGUUAACGUCCAUAAUAAAAACACUGCAUUGAUCCUGCAGUGGUCAUUUUCAGUGACACUGAAUUGCCGACCAUUUUAUAUUCUUUAGCUAUAGAGACAAAAUUUAUGGACCCACCCCACUCCAUAUUGUAGUCAAAGUACGUCAAAUACUACUCUCUAAAUUAUUGUUCGUAGGCUCCGUCUAAAAUUUACCAUCCUCAUCCAAUUAUUAGGUCACAAUAUAAUCGAUCAAUAUGCUUUGCGGGCCCCAGGAUCAAUGUAUCCACUUGUAAAAGCCAAACCAAGCCCCCCUUAAGUUCCUUUCCUGAUGCUCUGUAUAGUUUUUUCCAGCUAGCUCAUGAAAUAUAUUCUGUAAAUAAGGAGACAAAAAGGGAGCAUCAUGAAAUGGCAACAAGGGCUAUAUGGUUGGUAUGUCAUGAAUACACUGUGAUUAUAAUUUGUAAAGAGUAAACUAUGAAAACGAGUGAUUAUCAAUUGUUAAUAUGUAGGUGUUUUGUAAAUAAUAAACAAUCGUUCAUGCACGCACGCGUACUGUAAUAUAUGAGAUAUAACUUCAUUUAUAAGCUCUUAUAAUUCUCUUUAUUCUCAAUAUUAUAAAAAAUUUAAGAGUAUUAUUAAAGUCACCCAUUUCAAGGUCUUAUAUUUUGUAAUUUGACAACUCAAAGAUGGACAUGGUAGUUUUGAAUCUCUCAAGAGAAUGAAAAACCAUAAAAAGAAAAAAAGGACAAAGAAAAAAGAAAAAGGUGGAGAGAAAAUUCCCUCCAUUCACUUUUGGGAGAUUUUGGAAAAGACCAAAAGGGAGUGAAAUUUUUUAAAAGAAGCCAAAAUGGACAAAAUUGCCCUUCUUUAUUUUUGGAUUUCAUAAAGAAUCUUUUACAUUUGCAUGUUUUUGUUUUGAAAGUUGAGAGGUUUUUUUGUCUUUUUUGAAAAAAUUUUGGCUUUUUUCAAAAGUAAAAAAAAUUUUGUGGCUAAAUUCUAAAUUUAGGAGAAUAUAUUUCAGAAAGAGAAGGCAAGCAGGCAAGUAGGGAGGGUCAGUGCUGAGUAGACCGACCCCAACCACAUCGCAAAAUUCCUACAUUCACAUUCACUUGAUAAUUCUGAUACAAGCUAAUUUACAAAACAACCUCCGCCCUUCUCUCUCUCUCUCUCUCUCUCUCUCUCUCUCUCAGUAGUUCUGUGUUCCUCUCCUCCCAGACCUAAUGGCUUCGAUCUGAUUAAACCCACCUCCAAAGCCCCUUCCUUCAACAACCCAAUUCUGAACCUGUUCAGAUCGAGACCUCUUGGAGAUUCGGAGCUCCAGGUGAGAAAAUUUUCCCCAAAUUUUCCCAAAUUUUCUUCAAUUUCUUUUGUUCUUAUUCAUUUCCAAGUUUAAUUUUAGAAUUGGUUGUUAUUUUAGGCGGGUAACGAACCUAUAAUCAGAAAGAUCCGAAUUUUAUGUCUCGAUGGGGUCAAGUGCCUAGCUUUAUUAGCUUUGUAGUCAAUUGGGUAUUUGUAGUCCAAAUAUGAAUUAGGGUUUUGUUUCUUAGGGUCAAAUUAGUGAAGAGAAUAUGCUUCUUUUCGUUAUCAUGGAUACCGUAGCUCUAAACACCUAAAAAGUUUUUUAAUUGAAGUGAAAUUUCCAGUUUUUGGGCUUACUUUCAGGUCCUGAGCUUUGUUUUUGUGUAUAUUUAACUCAGCUAAAGCUAUCCUAGCUGGUAAUUUGUAGUAUUUGUAUUGAUGAUUCUAUUUCUUCAUGACUAUGUAUCUUACCCGUUGCCCAAAUUGCUUGCCCCAAUUUUUAUACAUUCAAUUUGGUGUAGAAAUUUUUUUCUUUUACUUUUUUGAUAGGCAUUGGAAACAUGCAAUGGGAUUCACCUCCAAUGCACGGUUAAUCUUAAAAGACAUAUUGAAUUGGGUUGAUGUUUAUUGGUUGUUGGUUGCUGUGAUGUGUAGGUGGUAGCAAACUAGCAAUGUCGACUCCUGCGAGGAAGAGGCUGAUGAGAGAUUUCAAGAGGCUGCAACAAGACCCACCUGCAGGGAUUAGUGGGGCGCCCCAAGAUAACAAUAUAAUGCUGUGGAAUGCUGUUAUAUUUGGGUAUGUUGGAAAAAUGAAAUGCAUAAAAAGAAAUUACUAUAGUGUUCUCUUUGUUAUGCAACAUUAAUAUUCAUUUUUCGUUUCUUGUCUGGUUUGGAUUGCAGUCCAGAUGAUACUCCUUGGGAUGGAGGUUAGUUAAUCCUUGUACUGAAGCUUUUGAUUAUGUUAAUGUUUUUUGAGAAGAGAUUAUGUUAAUGUUUUUCAGACGUGGGAUAUUCUGAUCUAAGUUUUACAUUCUAGGAUGAAGAUGAACCGCAUGUACAGUAGUUAUGUUAUGCUUAAGUUAAAAUAGCAAUUCCAAAGUGUUUCCCUUUCUUUUGUAAAGGAUUUUAUAUCUUCUUCUUGAUGAAAUAAUUAGAUUGCGGUCCGAUAUUUCACUAAGUUCCUAAAAUUUUCGUACUUUCUAAUACUAAAUUCUGAAAACCAGAACCUGAAUAUUGAGUAAAUAACUAAAAGCUUUCCUCCUUUGUUUCUGUCAUGUCUUUUGCCCAUUGAUGUGACCACGGUAUGCAUGUUUCUGUUAAAUAACCUUAACUUUGUUAAUAUCUACAUUUAAGAACUCUCUGUUGGAGUAAUACAGGCACGUUUAAGUUGACCCUUCAGUUUACAGAGGAUUACCCAAACAAACCCCCGACAGUCCGAUUUGUUUCUCGAAUGUUUCAUCCAAAU
rnacentral:lncRNA from 1 species